rnacentral:rRNA from 1 species
GACCGCCUACGGGGGGCAGCAGUGGGGGAUAUUGCACAAUGGGGGAAACCCUGAUGCAGCGACACCGCGUGGGUGAAGAAGCGCUUCGGCGUGUAAAGCCCUAUCAGUGGGGAAGAAAAAGGACGGUACCCAAAGAAGAAGCACCGGCUAAAUACGUGCCAGCAGCCGCGGUAAUACGCAUGGUGCAAGCGUUAUCCGGAAUGACUGGGUGUAAAGGGAGCGUAGACGGUGGUACAAGUAUGAUGUGAAAGC